GAUGAACGCUAGCGACAGGCUUAACACAUGCAAGUCGAGGGGCAUCACGGGAGUAGCAAUACAACUGGUGGCGACCGGCGCACGGGUGAGUAACGCGUAUGCAACCUACCUAACAGAGGGGAAAACCCGGCGAAAGUCGGACUAAUACCGCAUAAAACAGGGGCACCGCAUGGUGAUAUUUGUUAAAGAAAUUCGCUGAUAGAUGGGCAUGCGUUCCAUUAGGUAGUUGGUGAGGUAACGGCUCACCAAGCCGACGAUGGAUAGGGGAACUGAGAGGUUGGUCCCCCACACUGGUACUGAGACACGGACCAGACUCCUACGGGAGGCAGCAGUGAGGAAUAUUGGUCAAUGGGCGGGAGCCUGAACCAGCCAAGUCGCGUGAAGGAAGAAGGAUCUAUGGUUCGUAAACUUCUUUUGCAGGGGAAUAAAGUGCAGGACGUGUCCUGUUUUGUAUGUACCCUGAGAAUAAGGAUCGGCUAACUCCGUGCCAGCCGCCGCAGUAAUAC
rnacentral:rRNA from 1 species